rnacentral:misc_RNA from 1 species
GAUGUUUGGAACAAGAACUAUGGUCUUUGGGAAGCCUUGAAACCCCCAUUUUUAGCUGGAGCAUCAGGAAGUAGGAUAAUUCUAACAACCCGUGAGAUAAAUGUUGCCAGGAUGAUUGGACCCUCCAAGCAUUACAACCUGGAGCCUCUGUCAGAUGAUGAAUGCUGGUCUGUUUUUGCCAAACAUGCAUUCGAGAGUAGAAAUAUCAGACCACAUGCAAAUCUGGAAUCAAUUCGAGAAAAAAUUGUUAAGAAAUGUGGAGGUUUGCCCUUGGCAGCCAGGACUCUUGGUGGCUUGUUGCGGAAUAAACAGAGGGAUACUGAGUGGGAAGAUAUACUGGAUAGUAAGAUAUGGGACUUACCAGACUCUGAGAGUGACAUUCUUCCAGUGUUGAGAUUAAGCUACUACCAUCUCCCUUCACAUUUGAAAAGAUGCUUUACCUAUUGCGCUAUACUCCCAAAAGAUUUUGAAUUCAAAGAAAAGGAUCUAGUCCUUCUAUGGAUGGCAGAA